rnacentral:rRNA from 1 species
CUACGUGCCAGCAGCCGCGGUAAUACGGAAGGUCCAGGCGUUAUCCGGAUUUAUUGGGUUUAAAGGGAGCGUAGGCUGGAGAUUAAGUGUGUUGUGAAAUGUAGACGCUCAACGUCUGACUUGCAGCGCAUACUGGUUUCCUUGAGUACGCACAACGUUGGCGGAAUUCGUCGUGUAGCGGUGAAAUGCUUAGAUAUGACGAAGAACUCCGAUUGCGAAGGCAGCUGACGGGAGCGCAACUGACGCUUAAGCUCGAAGGUGCGGGUAUCGAACAGGAUUAGAUACCCUGGUAGUCCGCACAGUAAACGAUGGAUGCCCGCUGUUGGUACCUGGUAUCAGCGGCUAAGCGAAAGCAUUAAGCAUCCCACCUGGGGAGUACGCCGGCAACGGUGAAACUCAAAGGAAUUGACGGGGGCCCGCACAAGCGGAGGAACAUGUGGUUUAAUUCGAUGAUACGCGAGGAACCUUACCCGGGCUUGAA